rnacentral:rRNA from 1 species
AUUGAACGCUGGCGGCAGGCCUAACACAUGCAAGUCGAACGGUAACAGGAAGACGCUUGCUUCUUUGCUGACGAGUGGCGGACGGGUGAGUAAUGUCUGGGAAACUGCCUGAUGGAGGGGGAUAACUACUGGAAACGGUAGCUAGUACCGCAUAACGUCGCAAGACCAAAAAGGGGGACCUUCGGGCCUCUUGCCAUCGGAUGUGCCCAGAUGGGAUUAGCUAGUAGGUGGGGUAACGGCUCACCUAGGCGACGAUCCCUAGCUGGUCUGAGAGGAUGACCAGCCACACUGGAACUGAGACACGGUCCAGACUCCUACGGGAGGCAGCAGUGGGGAAUAUUGCACAAUGGGCGCAAGCCUGAUGCAGCCAUGCCGCGUGUAUGAAGAAGGCCUUCGGGUUGUAAAGUACUUUCAGCGGGGAGGAAGGGAGUAAAGUUAAUACCUUUGCUCAUUGACGUUACCCGCAGAAGAAGCACCGGCUAACUCCGUG